UUCCGGUUAGAUCUGGGUUCAUUGGGGGCACUUCAGGGUCAAUCCAAGAUGGCCGCCACACUAGAAGUGGGGGUCAAGGGUUCCUUCUGUUGAAAUGGUGGAAUUUGCUUAAUGUGAUGAAUGUUCAUGUUGAAUGUGCCAUUAAGAAUGAAUGCGUAAUUUUAUACCACAAAUGUACUAAUUAUGCAGAAACGGUAAAUGUUAAGGUA